rnacentral:rRNA from 1 species
CCUACGGGGGGCUGCAGUGGGGAAUAUUGCACAAUGGGCGCAAGCCUGAUGCAGCCAUGCCGCGUGUGUGAAGAAGGCCUUCGGGUUGUAAAGCACUUUCAGCGGGGAGGAAGGCGGUGAGGUUAAUAACCUCAUCGAUUGACGUUACCCGCAGAGGAAGCACCGGCUAACUCCGUGCCAGCAGCCGCGGUAAUACGGAGGGUGCAAGCGUGAAUCGGAAUUACUGGGCGUAAAGCGCACGCAGGCGGUCUGUCAAGUCGGAUGUGAAAUCCCCGGGCUCAACCUGGGAACUGCAUUCGAAACUGGCAGGCUAGAGUCUUGUAGAGGGGGGUAGAAUUCCAGGUGUAGCGGUGAAAUGCGUAGAGAUCUGGAGGAAUACCGGUGGCGAAGGCGGCCCCCUGGACAAAGACUGACGCUCAGGUGCGAAAGCGUGGGGAGCAAACAGGAUUAGAUACCCGUGUAGUC